AUUGAACGCUGGCGGCACGCUUAACACAUGCAAGUCGAGCGGUAACAUGGUUAGUAGCAAUACUAAUUGAUGACGAGCGGCGGACGGGUGAGUAACACGUAGGAACCUGCCCAGAAGCGGGGGACAACCAAGGGAAACUUUGGCUAAUACCGCGUAAUCUCGGGAGAGUAAAGCUGCCCGCAAGGGUGGCGCUUCUGGAGGGGCCUGCGUCCGAUUAGCUAGUUGGUGAGGUAAUGGCUCACCAAGGCUGUGAUCGGUAACUGGUCUGAGAGGACGACCAGUCACACUGGGACUGAGACACGGCCCAGACUCCUACGGGAGGCAGCAGUGGGGAAUCUUGGACAAUGGGGGCAACCCUGAUCCAGCGAUGCCGCGUGGGUGAAGAAGGCCUUCGGGUUGUAAAGGACUUUUGUCCGGGAGCAAAUGCCUGGUGUUAAUAGCACUGGGAGCUGAGAGUACCGGAAGAAUAAGCACCGGCUAACUACGUGCCAGCCGCCGCAGUAA
rnacentral:rRNA from 1 species